rnacentral:rRNA from 1 species
UACGAAGGGUGCAAGCGUUACUCGGAAUUACUGGGCGUAAAGCGUGCGUAGGUGGUUCGUUAAGUCUGUCGUGAAAGCCCCGGGCUCAACCUGGGAAUGGCGAUGGAUACUGGCGGGCUAGAGUGCGGUAGAGGAGAGUGGAAUUCCCGGUGUAGCGGUGAAAUGCGCAGAUAUCAGGAGGAACACCGGUGGCGAAGGCGGGUCUCUGGGCCGAUACUGACGCUGAGGAGCGAAAGCGUGGGGAGCGAACAGG